rnacentral:misc_RNA from 1 species
AUUUUUUUUUAUUAUUAUUUAAUUUGUACUGUACAAUUUGUCCAGCUGGACGUUUGGUAAAUUUUUCUAAGUUAAUUGCUAAAUAACAUGUGGGUGUUUACCCACAGUGGGAUACCAUCUUCGAGUUUGAAUAUUUUAUUUCUUCAGUCAGAUCAGUAGGGUAUUUUCUCGAACAAAGGUCUUUUUUUUUAUUUAAUUUGCACUUUACAAUUUGUCCAGCUGGACGUUUGUUAAAUUUUUCUAAGUUAAUUGCUAAAUAACAUGUGGGUGGCUACUCCCAGUAGGAUACCAUCUUCGAGUUUGACUAUUUUAUUUCUUCAGUCAGGUGUGUGGGUUGUUUUCUCGAACAAAGGUCUCCUUUUUUAUUUAAUUUGUAUUGUACAAUUUGUCCAGCUGGACAUUCGAUAAAUUUUUCUUAUUUAAUUGCUAAAUAACAUGUGGAUGGCUACUCCCAGCAGGAUACAUCUUCCAGUUUGACUAUUUUAUUUCUUCAGUCAAGUGUGUGGGUUGUUUUCUCGAACAAAAGUUCUUUUCUAUUUAAUUUGUACUUUACAAUUUGUCCAACUGGACAUUUGGUAAAUUUUUUUAAUGUAAUUACUAAAUAACAUGUGGAUGGUUACCCCCAGCGGGAUACCAUCUUCGAGUUUGACUAUUUUAUUAUUAUUUUAUUAAUUUAGGUCAUGGACGUCAUUUUCAACAAUUUUUGAGUUAAUGAAAUUCCUGUAGAGCGAGUACUUUCUUCUAUUAUAUGUUUUCGUUAUUCAAGUCGUCUAAAAUUAUUAAUUAUUAUUAGGAAUGUUUAGUAAUGUGAAUAAAGACAGUCUAAAUCCACUGAAAUGAGACUCACUCGAGCGCACGUUUGCCUCAAGAUCUUCAACUUGAUUUCCUCAAAAACGAGGCGUUAAGAGAACAAAUUUUCUUCUUUCUUUUCAAGUUGUUUUUUCAAGUAGAAUCGCC